CUGACUACAAUUAGCGCUGGCGCUUACGAUUUUCUUGCUUGAAAAUAUACAUGUUUUGUUGAUUGUUUAUGGAUUUAUUCUCAAAGUUUUAACAACUUUUACGAAAAAUUCUUCAGAUAUAAGCUGUGAACACACAUGUACACAAAACUGUGCAACAUUUAUGAUCAUAUUGUAUCAAUUUGUCGGAGUAUAGCGCUCAAAUUUGUGACAUUGUUUUGUUCGCUUUGGCAACCCUCGUAUAUAUCAGAUGCUGUUCGGCCUCAAAUGCGACUGAAUAAACACUGAUAGUGUUGCCUGGAAUAUGAAAUGAUAUUGACUUAUUGUUCUGUAUAUCAAGGUAUGUAAUGUACAUUUAUACUGAAUUUAUUCGAUUUUUUUCACACGUUGCUUUCACAUUUUCUCAGAGUCUCG